GUAUCGGAACGUGCCCAGUCGUGGGGGAUAACUGCUCGAAAGAGCAGCUAAUACCGCAUACGACCUGAGGGUGAAAGCGGGGGAUCGCAAGACCUCGCGCGAUUGGAGCGGCCGAUAUCAGAUUAGGUAGUUGGUGAGGUAAAGGCUCACCAAGCCGACGAUCUGUAGCUGGUCUGAGAGGACGACCAGCCACACUGGGACUGAGACACGGCCCAGACUCCUACGGGAGGCAGCAGUGGGGAAUUUUGGACAAUGGGCGCAAGCCUGAUCCAGCCAUGCCGCGUGCGGGAAGAAGGCCUUCGGGUUGUAAACCGCUUUUGUCAGGGAAGAAAAGGUUCUGGCUAAUACCUGGGACUCAUGACGGUACCUGAAGAAUAAGCACCGGCUAACUACGUGCCAGCAGCCGCGGUAAUACGUAGGGUGCAAGCGUUAAUCGGAAUUACUGGGCGUAAAGCGUGCGCAGGCGGUUAUGCAAGACAGAGGUGAAAUCCCCGGGCUCAACCUGGGAACUGCCUUUGUGACUGCAUGGCUAGAGUACGGUAGAGGGGGAUGGAAUUCCGCG
rnacentral:rRNA from 1 species